UUAAAACAAGCUUUUAAGAGCAGAUGGCGGAUGCCUUGCCAAAGAGAGGCGAUGAAGGACGUACUAGACUGCGAUAAGCUAUGCGGAGCUGUCAAGGAGCUUUGAUGCGUAGAUGUCCGAAUGGGGCAACCCAACUAAUAGAGAUAUUAGUUACUCUAACAGAGAGCGAACCUAGUGAAGUGAAACAUCUCAGUAACUAGAGGAAAAGAAAUCAACGAGAUUCCCUAAGUAGUGGCGAGCGAACGGGGAAAAGGGCAAACCGAGUGCUUGCAUUCGGGGUUGAGGACUGCAACAUCCAAGAGAACGCUUUAGCAGAGUUACCUGGAAAGGUAAGCCAUAGAAAGUGAUAGCCUUGUAUGCGACAAGGCGUUUUUAGGUAGCAGUAUCCAGAGUAGGCCAGGACACGAGAAAUCCAGGUUGAAGCCGGGGAGACCACUCUCCAACCCUAAAUACUACUCUUUGAGCGAUAGCGAACAAGUACCGUGAGGGAAAGGUGAAAAGAACCGCAGUGAGCGGAGUGAAAUAGAACCUGAAACCAUCUGCUUACAAUCAUUCAGAGCCCUAUGAUUUAUCAGGGUGAUGGACUGCCUUUUGCAUAAUGAUCCUGCGAGUUGUGGUAUCUGGCAAGGUUAAGCGAAUGCGAAGCCGUAGCGAAAGCGAGUCUUAAUAGGGCGAACAAAGUCAGAUGCUGCAGACCCGAAGCUAAGUGAUCUAUCCAUGGCCAAGUUGAAACGCGUGUAAUAGCGCGUGGAGGACUGAACUCGUACCCAUUGAAACGGGUUGGGAUGAGCUGUGGAUAGGGGUGAAAGGCCAAACAAACUUAGUGAUAGCUGGUUCUCUUCGAAAUAUAUUUAGGUAUAGCCUCAAGUGAUAAUAAAAGGGGGUAGAGCCCUGAUUGGGCUAGGGCUGCUCGCCGCGGUACCAAACCCUAUCAAACUUCGAAUACCUUUUAUCGUAUCUUGGGAGUCAGGCGGUGGGUGAUAAAAUCAAUCGUCAAAAGGGGAACAACCCAGACUACCAAAUAAGGUCCCUAAGUUCUAUUCUGAGUGGAAAAAGAUGUGUGGCUACUCAAACAACCAGGAGGUUGGCUUAGAAGCAGCCAUCCUUUAAAGAAAGCGUAACAGCUCACUGGUCUAGUGGUCAUGCGCUGAAAAUAUAACGGGGCUAAGAUAGACACCGAAUUUGUAGAUUGUGUUAAACACAGUGGUAGAAGAGCGUUCAUACCAGCGUUGAAGGUAUACCGGUAAGGAGUGCUGGAGCGGUAUGAAGUGAGCAUGCAGGAAUGAGUAACGAUAAGAUAUAUGAGAAUUGUAUCCGCCGUAAAUCUAAGGUUUCCUACGCGAUGGUCGUCAUCGUAGGGUUAGUCGGGUCCUAAGCCGAGUCCGAAAGGGGUAGGUGAUGGCAAAUUGGUUAAUAUUCCAAUACCGACUAUGGAGCGUGAUGGGGGGACGCAUAGGGUUAAGCGAGCUAGCUGAUGGAAGCGCUAGUCUAAGGGCGUAGAUUGGAGGGAAGGCAAAUCCACCUCUGUAUUUGAAACCCAAACAGGCUCUUUGAGUCCUUUUAGGACAAAGGGAGAAUCGCUGAUACCGUCGUGCCAAGAAAAGCCUCUAAGCAUAUCCAUAGUCGUCCGUACCGCAAACCGACACAGGUAGAUGAGAUGAGUAUUCUAAGGCGCGUGAAAGAACUCUGGUUAAGGAACUCUGCAAACUAGCACCGUAAGUUCGCGAUAAGGUGUGCCGCAGCAAUGCG
rnacentral:rRNA from 1 species